rnacentral:tRNA from 1 species
UCCUCGGUAGCUCAAUUGGCAGAGCGGUCGGCUGUUAACCGAUUGGUUGGAGGUUCAAGUCCUCCCCGAGGAG